ACAUCCAGAGAACUUUCCAGAGAUGGAUUGGUGCCUUCGGGAACUCUGAGACAGGUGCUGCAUGGCUGUCGUCAGCUCGUGUUGUGAAAUGUUGGGUUAAGUCCCGCAACGAGCGCAACCCUUAUCCUUUGUUGCCAGCGGUUAGGCCGGGAACUCAAAGGAGACUGCCAGUGAUAAACUGGAGGAAGGUGGGGACGACGUCAAGUCAUCAUGGCCCUUACGAGUAGGGCUACACACGUGCUACAAUGGCGCAUACAAAGAGAAGCGACCUCGCGAGAGCAAGCGGACCUCAUAAAGUGCGUCGUAGUCCGGAUUGGAGUCUGCAACUCGACUCCAUGAAGUCGGAAUCGCUAGUAAUCGUAGAUCAGAAUGCUACGGUGAAUACGUUCCCGGGCCUUGUACACACCGCCCGUCACACCAUGGGAGUGGGUUGCAAAAGAAGUAGGUAGCUUAACCUUCGGGAGGGCGCUUACCACUUUGUGAUUCAUGACUGGGGUGAAGUCGUAACAAGGUAAGCGUAGUGCU
rnacentral:rRNA from 1 species